ensembl:snoRNA SNORD33 Small nucleolar RNA Z195/SNORD33/SNORD32 family
GCGGCCGGUGAUGAGAAUUUCUCCCACUCACAUUCGAGUUUCUCGACCAUGAGAUGACUCCACAUGCACUACCAUCUGAGGCCAC